rnacentral:rRNA from 1 species
AUUGAACGCUGGCGGCAUGCCUUACACAUGCAAGUCGAACGGCAGCACGGGAGCAAUCCUGGUGGCGAGUGGCGAACGGGUGAGUAAUGUAUCGGAACGUACCUUUCAGUGGGGGAUAACGUAGCGAAAGUUACGCUAAUACCGCAUAUUCUGUGAGCAGGAAAGCAGGGGAUCGCAAGACCUUGCGCUGAUUGAGCGGCCGAUAUCAGAUUAGCUAGUUGGUGAGGUAAAGGCUCACCAAGGCGACGAUCUGUAGCGGGUCUGAGAGGAUGAUCCGCCACACUGGAACUGAGACACGGUCCAGACUCCUACGGGAGGCAGCAGUGGGGAAUUUUGGACAAUGGGCGCAAGCCUGAUCCAGCCAUGCCGCGUGAGUGAAGAAGGCCUCGGUUGUAAGACGUCUUCUAGCCGGAGAAACGACGANGGUUAAGUACCGUACGUGUGGAGUGACGGUACCGGAA